GUAGACCCGAAACCAGGUGAUCUACCCAUGUCCAGGAUGAAGGUAAGGUAAUACUUACUGGAGGUCCGAACCCACGCACGUUGAAAAGUGCGGGGAUGAGGUGUGGGUAGCGGAGAAAUUCCAAUCGAACUUGGAGAUAGCUGGUUCUCUCCGAAAUAGCUUUAGGGCUAGCCUCGAGGUAAAGAGUCAUGGAGGUAGAGCACUGUUUGGACUAGGGGCCCUUCUCGGGUUACCGAAUUCAGAUAAACUCCGAAUGCCAUGUACUUAUACUCGGGAGUCAGACUGCGAGUGAUAAGAUCCGUAGUCGAAAGGGAAACAGCCCAGACCACCAGUUAAGGUCCCCAAAUAUAUGUUAAGUGGAAAAGGAUGUGGGGUUGCUUAGACAACCAGGAUGUUGGCUUAGAAGCAGCCACCAUUGAAAGAGUGCGUAAUAGCUCACUGGUCGAGUGACCCCGCGCCGAAAAUGUACCGGGGCUAAACAUAUUACCGAAACUGUGGAUGAACCUCUUCGGAGGUUCGUGGUAGGAGAGCGUUCUAAGGGCGGUGAAGUCAGACCGGAAGGACUGGUGGAGCGCUUAGAAGUGAGAAUGCCGGUAUGAGUAGCGAAAGAAGGGUGAGAAUCCCUUCCACCGAAUAUCUAAGGUUUCCUGAGGAAGGCUCGUCCGCUCAGGGUUAGUCGGGACCUAAGCCGAGGCCGAUAGGCGUAGGCGAUGGACAACAGGUAGAGAUUCCUGUACCAGUGCUAAUUGUUUAACCGAUGGGGUGACACAGAAGGAUAGGGAAUCGCACGAAUGGAAAUGUGCGUCCAAGCAGUGAGUGUGAGAAGUAGGCAAAUCCGCUUCUCGCGAAGCAUGAGCUGUGAUGGGGAAGGAAAUUAAGUACGGAAGUUCCUGAUUUCACGCUGUCAAGAAAAGCCUCUAGGAAGAGUAGUACUGCCCGUACCGCAAACCGACACAGGUAGAUGAGGAGAGAAUCCUAAGGUGAGCGAGAGAACUCUCGUUAAGGAACUCGGCAAAAUGACCCCGUAACUUCGGGAGAAGGGGUGCUCUAUUAGGGUGCAAGCCCGAGAGAGCCGCAGUGAAUAGGCCCAGGCGACUGUUUAGCAAAAACACAGGUCUCUGCAAAACCGUAAGGUGACGUAUAGGGGCUGACGCCUGCCCGGUGCUGGAAGGUUAAGAGGAGUGCUUAGCUUCGGCGAAGGUACGAAUUGAAGCCCCAGUAAACGGCGGCCGUAACUAUAACGGUCCUAAGGUAGCGAAAUUCCUUGUCGGGUAAGUUCCGACCCGCACGAAAGGCGCAACGAUCUGGGCACUGUCUCAACGAGAGACUCGGUGAAAUUAUAGUACCUGUGAAGAUGCAGGUUACCCGCGACAGGACGGAAAGACCCCGUGGAGCUUUACUGCAACCUGAUAUGGAAUGUUUGUACCGCUUGUACAGGAUAGGUAGGAGCCGAAGAGACGUGUGCGCUAGCAUACGAGGAGGCAAUGGUGGGAUACUACCCUGGCUGUAUGACCAUUCUAACCCGCCACGCUUAGCGCGUGGGGAGACAGUGUCAGGUGGGCAGUUUGACUGGGGCGGUCGCCUCCUAAAGAGUAACGGAGGCGCCCAAAGGUUCCCUCAGAAUGGAUGGAAAUCAUUCGCAGAGUGUAAAGGCACAAGGGAGCUUGACUGCGAGACUGACAAGUCGAGCAGGGACGAAAGUCGGGCUUAGUGAUCCGGUGGUUCCGCAUGGAAGGGCCAUCGCUCAACGGAUAAAAGCUACCCCGGGGAUAACAGGCUUAUCUCCCCCAAGAGUCCACAUCGACGGGGAGGUUUGGCACCUCGAUGUCGGCUCGUCGCAUCCUGGGGCUGUAGUCGGUCCCAAGGGUUGGGCUGUUCGCCCAUUAAAGCGGCACGCGAGCUGGGUUCAGAACGUCGUGAGACAGUUCGGUCCCUAUCCGUCGCGGGCGCAGGAAAUUUGAGAGGAGCUGUCCUUAGUACGAGAGGACCGGGAUGGACACACCGCUGGUGUACCAGUUGUUCCGCCAGGAGCAUCGCUGGGUAGCUAUGUGUGGCAGGGAUAAACGCUGAAAGCAUCUAAGCGUGAAGCCCCCCUCAAGAUGAGAUUUCCCAUUUCUUCGGAAAGUAAGAUCCCUGAAAGAUGAUCAGGUAGAUAGGUUUGGAGUGGAAGUGUAGCGAUACAUGGAGCGGACAAAUACUAAUCGAUCGAGGACUUAACCAA
rnacentral:rRNA from 1 species